AGAGUUUGAUCCUGGCUCAGGAUGAACGCUGGCGGCGUGCCUAAUACAUGCAAGUCGAGCGAACAGACGAGGAGCUUGCUCCUCUGACGUUAGCGGCGGACGGGUGAGUAACACGUGGAUAACCUACCUAUAAGACUGGGAUAACUUCGGGAAACCGGAGCUAAUACCGGAUAAUAUAUUGAACCGCAUGGUUCAAUAGUGAAAGACGGUUUUGCUGUCACUUAUAGAUGGAUCCGCGCCGCAUUAGCUAGUUGGUAAGGUAANGGCUUACCAAGGCANNGAUNCGUAGCCGACNUGAGAGNGUGNNCGGCCACACUGGAACUGAGACACGGUCCAGACUCCUACGGGAGGCAGCAGUAGGGAAUCUUCCACAAUGGGNGCAAGCCUGAUGGAGCAAUGCCGCGUGAGUGAAGAAGGACUUCGGAUCGUAAAACUCUGUUAUUAGGGAAGAACAAAUGUGUAAGUAACUAUGCACGUCUUGACGGUACCUAAUCAGAAAGCCACGGCUAACUACGUGCCAGCAGCCGCGGUAAUACGUAGGUGGCAAGCGUUAUCCGGAAUUAUUGGGCGUAAAGCGCGCGUAGGCGGUUUUUUAAGUCUGAUGUGAAAGCCCACGGCUCAACCGUGGAGGGUCAUUGGAAACUGGAAAACUUGAGUGCAGAAGAGGAAAGUGGAAUUCCAUGUGUAGCGGUGAAAUGCGCAGAGAUAUGGAGGAACACCAGUGGCGAAGGCGACUUUCUGGUCUGUAACUGACGCUGAUGUGCGAAAGCGUGGGGAUCAAACAGGAUUAGAUACCCUGGUAGUCCACGCCGUAAACGAUGAGUGCUAAGUGUUAGGGGGUUUCCGCCCCUUAGUGCUGCAGCUAACGCAUUAAGCACUCCGCCUGGGGAGUACGACCGCAAGGUUGAAACUCAAAGGAAUUGACGGGGACCCGCACAAGUGCGGUGGAGGUCGCUAGAUGGUC
rnacentral:rRNA from 1 species